rnacentral:rRNA from 1 species
UAGUCCACGCCGUAAACGAUGUCAACUAGCUGUUGGAUUAAUUUAUUAAUUCGGUGGCGUAGCUAACGCGAUAAGUUGACCGCCUGGGGAGUACGGUCGCAAGAUUAAAACUCAAAGGAAUUGACGGGGCCCGCACAAGCGGUGGAGCAUGUGGUUUAAUUCGAUGCAACGCGAAGAACCUUACCUACCCUUGACAUCAUCAGAACUUGUUAGAGAUAACUCGGUGCCUUUUGGAACUGAUUGACAGGUGCUGCAUGGCUGUCGUCAGCUCGUGUCGUGAGAUGUUGGGUUAAGUCCCGUAACGAGCGCAACCCUUAUCCUUAGUUGCCAGCACGUAAUGGUGGGGACUCUAAGGAGACUGCCGGUGCUAAGCCGGAGGAAGGCGGGGACGACGUCAAGUCAUCAUGGCCCUUACGGGGUAGGGGCUAC